rnacentral:rRNA from 1 species
GCAUAUCAAUAAGCGGAGGAAAAGAAACAAACAUGGAUAGCCCUAGUAACGGCGAGUGAAGCGGCUACAGCUCAAAUUUGAAAUCUGGCCUCCUCUGGGGGUCCGAGUUGUAAUUUGCAGAGGAUGCUUUGGCGUUGGCGGCGGUCUAAGUUCCCUGGAACAGGACAUCGCAGAGGGUGAGAAUCCCGUACGUGGGCGCCUGCCUUCGCCGUGUAAAGCUCCUUCGACGAGUCGAGUUGUUUGGGAAUGCAGCUCUAAUUGGGAGGUAAAUUUCUUCUAAAGCUAAAUACCGGCCAGAGACCGAUAGCGCACAAGUAGAGUGAUCGAAAGAUGAAAAGUACUUUGGAAAGAGAGUCAAAUAGCACGUGAAAUUGUUGAAAGGGAAGCGCUUGCAGCCAGACGUGCCCGCAGUUGCUCACCCAGGCUCCGGCCUGGGGCACUCUUCUGCGGGCAGGCCAGCAUCGGUUCGGGCGGUCGGAUAAAGGUCUCUGUCACGUACCUCCCUUCGGGGUGGCCUUAUAGGGGAGACGCAAUGCGACCAGCCCGGACCGAGGUCCGCGCAUCUGCCAGGAUGCUGGCGUAAUGGCUGUAAGCGGCCCGUCUUGAAACACGGACCAAGGAGUCUAACAUCUAUGCGAGUGUUUGGGUGUCAAGCCCGGGCGCGCAAUGAAAGUGAACGGAGGUGGGAACCCCUCGGGGCGCACCAUCGACCGAUCCUGAUGUCUUCGGAUGGAUUUGAGUAAGAGCAUAGCUGUUGGGACCCGAAAGAUGGUGAACUAUGCUUGAAUAGGGUGAAGCCAGAGGAAACUCUGGUGGAGGCUCGCAGCGGUUCUGACGUGCAAAUCGAUCGUCAAAUUUGGGCAUAGGGGCGAAAGACUAAUCGAACCAUCUAGUAGCUGGUUCCUGCCGA